GCUUUUCAAAUACUAAAAAAAUAAAAAAAUAAAAAAAUAAAAGGAAAAAUGGGGGAAAAUGCUGGCUGUGCCACCACAGAGAAUACAUUAUUAAUUAAAGUGUCUCAAAAACAAAAACAAACGCUGGAACGAAACCCACAGACUAACCAGAGGUAAACAGCCGAAAGACGCUUCAGAGUCUGUAUAGUGACGCAGCUGAGGUCGCCCUCUUUCGGACAUUCAGACCUGCUCCAUGACACAAGGGCUGAAGAGCAGUGAGAGGAGAUGUAUCUCUGCACAGAUUUCAGGAGAGGAUUUGCAUUCAUAACGACUUCAUUAAAUAUUAAAUACACCUUAAAUAUAGUCAUACUUACUGACCCUUUUAUUAGGUGAAUGUGGUGUACAAAUACUGGGUCUUACUGGGAAAGUAGACCAUAGACCAUAGACCCACCACCACUGAGCAGAAACAUCGACAGUUGUAUCAUAGUCCAGCGGUCCUGGUUAGAAUUCUGUUACAGUAGUGAGUCUAUGGUCUAUGGUGGCUCCUUUCCCAGUAAAGCACAGUAUUUGUAUACCUACAACGUACACCACAUUCACCUAACAAUAGGGUCAAUAAGUAUGACUACAUUUAUUAAAUACACCUUAAAUGUAGUCAUACUUAAUGACCCUUUUAUUAAGUGAAUGUGGUGUACAAAUACUGGGUCUUACUGGGAAAACACAACACUAUGUAAGAGUUGUUGUGUCAUAGUACAGACAUGACAUUAGAAACAUGGUUUAAUCCGAACCUCAACAACACAAAACAAUAAUGUUACCUUGGACCUAUUGUGUUUUGUCAGUGGAAAGUUUAUGAAGAGAAAACACAACUCUAAUAAACAGCUAAUAUAUUAUUAUAUUAUUAUUAUAUACUAUAUAAUAGUAUAUAUUAUAUUAUAUACAGUGAAAUAAAAAGUCUAAUAUA